rnacentral:hammerhead_ribozyme from 1 species
AUCCAACUGACGAGUCUCACGUAGGACGAAACGCGCGUCCUGGAU